rnacentral:rRNA from 1 species
UGGUGGGGUAACGGCCCACCAAGCCGAAGAUCCGUACGGGCCAUGAGAGUGGGAGCCCGGAGAUGGACCCUGAGACGCGGGUCCAGGCCCUACGGGGCGCAGCAGGCGCGAAACCUCCGCAAUGCGGGAAACCGCGACGGGGUCAGCCGGAGUGCUCGCGCAUCGCGCGGGCUGUCGGGGUGCCUAAAAAGCACCCCAUAGCAAGGGCCGGGCAAGGCCGGUGGCAGCCGCCGCGGUAAUACCGGCGGCCCGAGUGGCGGCCACUUUUAUUGGGCCUAAAGCGUCCGUAGCCGGGCUGGUAAGUCCUCCGGGAAAUCUGGUCGCUUAACGAUCAGACUGCCGGAGGAUACUGCCAGCCUAGGGACCGGGAGAGGCCGGGGGUAUUCCCGGGGUAGGGGUGAAAUCCUGUAAUCCCGGGAGGACCACCUGUGGCGAAGGCGCCCGGCUGGAACGGGUCCGACGGUGAGGGACGAAGGCCAGGGGAGCGAACCGGAUUAGAU